rnacentral:lncRNA from 1 species
AUGAAUAAUUUAUUAAUUAAUUGGUAAAUGAGUAUUUGUUAAUUUAAGCAAAAUCUAAUAUUUUAAUUACUUGUACAAUUGGGGCGUGGCAUCCAGCUGGUUAGCAGCUAAGCCCAACAACCGACAAACAAAAAGCAGAAAGAAUAAUAGCGUUAGAAAAAUGACAGAGAGAUUGGAGUUAUCCUCGUCAUUGCCACGUACACAGAAAGCUAUGUAAUGGUUUUAUCUUUUAAGAAAAAUGCUUGGUGUAAAGACUACUCAAUGUAAUUUUGUAAUUUUAAAAUUGAAUUGGUAGGACUCCUCAGGUUCUGACCCUACUUGCAGCACUUCCAAUUAAGGACCCCACGAACCUGAAUUUGACAAUUUGUAAUUUUGCAUUAUAUCCGAAAACUUUAAACGUAAGUUUUAACUUUUGAAAAUAGAAAAUAAAUAUAUUGUUGAAGAAAAUGACAAAAAUGUAGAAAUAUUUUUGAAGGCGAAUAAUUAUUAAAUUUGUUAAUGCAGUACUGUAAUUACAAAUUGGCAAAUUUAUUGUUGAAAAUGGAAAAAGGAGCAAGUGUUAUGGUAAUAAUAAAAUGCAACAUAUUAUGAAUAAUAAUUUGCCACGACUGAAACAUGGAGGUAAAAACAGCAAAAUUAAAGACGUGUUAAUAAUAAUAUCAACAAAAUAAUAAUAAGAUAAAAAACAUUAUUA